UCGUAUCUCCUUUUCCCAAAUCGUCCACUUUUGUGCACAAUCUGAGCUUCGAUUUGGGAGAAUUUACUGUAGUUGUUUUACCGAUUUAUCGUAGGUUUUUAGAGAUACUCGAUGAAGUUUCUGUAAGGGCGCGAUCGUUGGGUGGACGCUACGGAGGAUUUUAAGCGUUGAUCGCUUUGAUGGAUUUUGGAACUGUUUGCUGUUUUACCAAUUUAUAUUCUGCGAACAUUUCGCGAUGUUUCUGAGGACAGUGUGGAGGAUGUUACGCGAUUUACGCCAGAUGCAAUUUUUGUAGGAACAAUAUGAUUUGGAGGACGCUAUGAAGGGUUUUAUGCAACAUGUGCAAGACGAAGUCGUUUGUAAGGUUGCUGUGAUUUGGAGGACGCUACGGAGGAUUUCCUGCAAUAUGUACAAGACGAAGUCCUCUGUAAGGAUGCUGUGAUUUGGAGGACGCUAUGGAAAAUUCUACUCGUCUCGUUCUCAGAAAACUUUGCGUCGGAGGAAAGUUCGCACUGUUCGGUCUUACGUAAGACUUUCGGCGCCAAUUAUGCAAUUGCAUAUUUCAAUCAGUUCUAGAUAACAAAGCGAGUCCGUUGAAUAUUCGAUCGUACGACAUUGACAAGACAAUUUAGCCAGCGUUGAAAACCUUCGAAUCUGUAUAUCCUAUCAUCUUUCUGUGAAUUACGAAGUGUUCCAAUGCUUCGUCAUGCUACUCGAACAUUUUCAUAAUUUCAUACAUCGAACAAGAUUCAUUAUCCGAUUGUUUGUCCGUAUUUUUUGUAAUUCUUAUCUCAAUGCUUACAAAUUUUCUAAAA